UACAGGGGGGGCAAGCGUUGUUCGGAAUUACUGGGCGUAAAGGGCCAGUAGGCGGCCAACUAAGUCCGACGUGAAAUCCCCAGGCUUAACCUGGGAACUGCGUCGGAUACUGGAUGGCUUGAAUUCGGGAGAGGGAUGCAGAAUUCCAGGUGUAGCGGUGAAAUGCGUAGAUAUCUGGAGGAACACCCGUAGCGAAGGCGGCACUCUGGGCCGGUACUGACGCUGAGGAGCGAAAGCGUGGGGAGCAAACAGG
rnacentral:rRNA from 1 species